ensembl:miRNA
UUGUCCACACAGUGUAAAACAACUGUUAUAUUUUAUAAGGUUGUUAACUGUUGUAGAUUACA